UAGUUAUGUUCUUGAAACCCAGAGAAUUUGGCGGUGUUUUAGUCUAUUCAGAGGAAUCUGUCCCGUAAUCGAUAAUUCACGAGUGUAUUUUACUUAAUUUUGUAAUUUCAAUUUGUAUACCUCCGUCAUCAGAUUAUCUUUUUAGGGUUAAAAAUUUUCAGAAAAUUGUAUUAAAUUGUAUGUCAGGUCAAGGUGCAGUUUAUAAUUAAGUGGGAGAUGGAUUACAAUAAAAUUAUUUAUAUGGAUAUUAAAUAAAAUAAUUUAAUUGAAGGUGGAUUUGAUAGUAAAUUUAUAACUAAUAAGUUGAUUAAAGCUCUAAAACAUGUACACAUCGCCCGUCGCUCUCAUUAUUAAGGUGAGAUAAGUCGUAACAUAGUAGAUGUACUGGAAAGUGUAUCUAGAAAGU
rnacentral:rRNA from 1 species